AUGUUGUCUGGCAAGAUAUUGAAGACUGACUGGGAUGUAGCGGGUGGAGGAGCUCAGGUGGUGGCCGGAGCUGAGCGCGCCGAGGAUUUCAUCCCCACGAACAUGUGGCUUAGGAUGAUGGACCUGCCUGGCAGGAUCGCCUUCAUGAGCGUGCCUCGUUCAAGGGGACGAUCUCCGAGGCAGGGCCACGAGGAGGGAUCCAGGAAGCCGAUGAGAUUCUACCAGCAGAUCAAGGACAACGAGGACCUCGCCAUGCUUGUCGUCCUUCCCAAGUUCGUGGAGGUGAUGAACACCUGGCUGGUCAUCAAGUGA
rnacentral:rRNA from 1 species